GUUUUUUGGCUCUUGCAUCGAUGAAGAUGCAGCGAACUGCGAUAAGUAAUGUGAAUUGCAGAUUCAGUGAAUCAUCGAAUCUUUGAACGCAUCUGCGCUCCUGGUAUUCCGAGGAGCAUGCCUGUUUGAGUGUCAUAAAUUCUGUCAAAACAUGCACUUGAGUGUGUUUCGGAUUGUGGGAGUGUCUGCUGGCUUUAUGAGCCAGCUCUCGUGAAACACAUUAGCUUUGGGGGGGAGGUGCCAAGUCACUUCUGCCUUUCCAUUGGUGUGAUAGAUGAAUUAACUUAUCUACGCCAGGAAAGCAGGCUUCAGGUGAUGCAGCUGUGAUCUCUCUCUGCUCUCUAAUUGACANUUGUCUGAUAACUUGACCUCAAAUCAGGUAGGACUACCCGCGAAUCUUAAGCAUAUCAAUAAGCGGAGGAAAAGAAACUCACAAGNAUUCCCUUAGUAACUGCGAGUGAAGAGGGAAGAGCUCAAAUUUAUAAUCCGGCAGUGUUUUGCUGUCCGAGUUGUAAUCUAGAGAAGUGCUGUCCGUGCUGGACCAUGUACAAGUCUCCUGGAAUGGAGCGUCACAGAGGGUGAGAAUCCCGUCUUUGACAUGGACUACCAGUGCAUUUGUGGUGUGCUCUCAAAGAGUCGAGUUGUUUGGGAAUGCAGCUCUAAAUGGGUGAUAAACAUCCAUCUUACACACGCUCACACAUUGGCGAGCAGACCGACUAGCAAGCCAAGCUCCUUCAGUAGAGUGAACAAGAGAACUGCAAAGCGUUCCCCUUUCCGAGGGA
rnacentral:rRNA from 1 species